CACAAAGGAAGAUUUGGAGACAAGGCAGAAAAGAUUUGCUGAAAUAGUUUGAAGGAUACAGUAUUACAGGAGUGGCUGCUGCUCUUCCAUUGUGUAAUGUCCUCCAUUAUCAGUGCUUGAAUGAAACACAUUUCAAAAGCCUGGCUUCAGUUUAAUCCUUCAAUAGUAAGAGCUGAAUGCGACCCACACUGGCUCCAUAUGAUUGACAGAUGCAGUCGAGAGAAUUUUGUAUUUGAGACAACAGAAAGGCAAGUGGAAUUGCAUCAAGAUUCAGUUCCACAUUUGACAGGAGGAGGGACAAUGAUGUAUGCAAUCUCCUAUGUCCUUCACAAAC